UAGCAACUUUCAGCAGUGGAUGUCUAGGCUCGCACAUCGAUGAAGAACGCCGCGAACUGCGAUACGUAAUGCGAAUUGCACGAUUCAGUGAGUCAUCGAAAUUUUGAACGCAUAU
rnacentral:rRNA from 1 species